rfam:Danio rerio chromosome 4, GRCz11 reference primary assembly.
GCAUUGGUGGUUCAGUGGUAGAAUUCUUGCGUCCCACGCAGGGGACCUGGGUCUGAUUCCCGGCCAACGCA